GACGAACGCUGGCGGCGUGCUUAACACAUGCAAGUCGAACGGAAAGGCCCUGCUCUUGUGGGGUGCUCGAGUGGCGAACGGGUGAGUAACACGUGAGUAACCUGCCCUUGUCUUUGGGAUAACUUCAGGAAACUGGGGCUAAUACCGGAUAGGAGCUCCUGCUGCAUGGUGGGGGUUGGAAAGUUUCGGCGGUUGGGGAUGGAUUCGCGGGUUACGCGCUUGUUUGUGGGGUAGUGGCUUACCAAGGCUUAGACGGAUAGCCUGCCUGAGAGGUGGGACGGGCACAUGGGGACUGCGAGAGGCACCAGUAUCGAACGGGCGGCAGCAGUGGAGAAUAUUGCAGAACGGGCGGAAGCCUGAGACGGAAGCGUUGCGUGCGGGAUGACGGCCUUCGAGUGGUAAACCGCUUUCGCCUGUGACGAAGCGUGAGUGACGGUAAUGGGUAAAGAAGCACCGGCUAACUACGUG
rnacentral:rRNA from 1 species